rnacentral:rRNA from 1 species
UUGGGGCGGUGCAGUGUGGCGUCGUCAUGAUUGCUUGCAAUGUGGCGAACACAGAGCAGUCAUGUUGGGACCCGAAAGAUGGUGAACUAUGCCUGAGCAGGACGAAGCCAGAGGAAACUCUGGUGGAGGUCCGAAGCGGUUCUGACGUGCAAAUCGAUCGUCAGACUUGGGUAUAGGGGCGAAAGACUAAUCGAACCAUCUAGUAGCUGGUUCCCUCCGAAGUUUCCCCCAGGA